UACGUAGGUCCCGAGCGUUGUCCGGAUUUAUUGGGCGUAAAGCGAGCGCAGGUGGUUUAUUAAGUCUGGUGUAAAAGGCAGAGGCUCAACCAUUGUAUGCAUUGGAAACUGGUAGACUUGAGUGCAGGAGAGGAGAGUGGAAUUCCAUGUGUAGCGGUGAAAUGCGUAGAUAUAUGGAGGAACACCGGUGGCGAAAGCGGCUCUCUGGCCUGUAACUGUCACUGAGGCUCGAAAGCGUGGGGAGCAAACAGG
rnacentral:rRNA from 1 species